GACAGAGGAUGCAAGCGUUAUCCGGAAUGAUUGGGCGUAAAGCGUCUGUAGGUGGCUUUUCAAGUCCGCCGUCAAAUCCCAGGGCUCAACCCUGGACAGGCGGUGGAAACUACCAAGCUGGAGUACGGUAGGGGCAGAGGGAAUUUCCGGUGGAGCGGUGAAAUGCGUUGAUAUCAUCAGGAACACCGGUGGCGAAGGCGCUUUCUGGGUCUUACCUGACGCUGAGGAACGAAAGCCAGGGGAGCGAACGGG
rnacentral:rRNA from 1 species